rnacentral:rRNA from 1 species
AUUGAACGCUGGCGGCAUGCCUUACACAUGCAAGUCGAACGGCAGCACGGGGCAACCUGGUGGCGAGUGGCGAACGGGUGAGUAAUAUAUCGGAACGUACCUUUCAGUGGGGGAUAACGUAGCGAAAGUUACGCUAAUACCGCAUAUUCUGUGAGCAGGAAAGCAGGGGAUCGCAAGACCUUGCGCUGAUUGAGCGGCCGAUAUCAGAUUAGCUAGUUGGUGGGGUAAAGGCCUACCAAGGCGACGAUCAGUAGCGGGUCUGAGAGGAUGAUCCGCCACACUGGGACUGAGACACGGCCCAGACUCCUACGGGAGGCAGCAGUGGGGAAUUUUGGACAAUGGGGGCAACCCUGAUCCAGCCAUGCCGCGUGAGUGAAGAAGGCCUUCGGGUUGUAAAGCUCUUUCGGCCGGGAAGAAAUCGCAUAGGUUAAUACCCUGUGUGGAUGACGGUACCGGAAUAAGAAGCACCGGCUAACUACGUGCCAGCCGCCGCAGUAA